AACGCUGGCGGCAUGCCUUACACAUGCAAGUCGAACGGCAGCAUGGAGGAGCUUGCUCCUCUGAUGGCGAGUGGCGAACGGGUGAGUAAAGCAUCGGAACGUACCGUGUAGUGGGGGAUAACGUAGCGAAAGUUACGCUAAUACCGCAUACGCACUGAGGUGGAAAGCAGGGGAUCGCAAGACCUUGCGCUAUACGAGCGGCCGAUGUCAGAUUAGCUAGUUGGUAGGGUAAAGGCCUACCAAGGCGACGAUCUGUAGCGGGUCUGAGAGGAUGAUCCGCCACACUGGGACUGAGACACGGCCCAGACUCCUACGGGAGGCAGCAGUGGGGAAUUUUGGACAAUGGGGGAAACCCUGAUCCAGCCAUGCCGCGUGAGUGAAGAAGGCCUUCGGGUUGUAAAGCUCUUUCGGCUGGGAAGAAAUCGCACAGGCUAAUACUCUGUGUGGAUGACGGUACCAGCAUAAGAAGCACCGGCUAACUACGUG
rnacentral:rRNA from 1 species